ACCGGGUGAGUAACACGUGGGUAACCUGCCCCUCACAGGGGGAUAACCGGAGUGGAAACCCCGGCUAAUACCCCAUCCGCUUUCUGGGUCGCAUGGCCCGGUAAGGAAAGGUAGCUUCGGCCAUCCGGCGAGGGAUGAGCCCGCGGUGCAUUAGCUAGUUGGUGAGGUAACGGCUCACCAAGGCGACGAUGCAUAGCUGGUCUGAGAGGAUGAUCAGCCACACUGGGACUGAGACACGGCCCAGACUCCUACGGGAGGCAGCAGUCGGGAAUCUUGCGCAAUGGGCGAAAGCCUGACGCAGCAACACCGUGUGAGCGACGAAGGCCUUCGGGUCGUAAAGCUCUGUUGUUGGGGACGAAGGGUUAGGGGUUAAUAGCCCCGAGCCUGACGGU
rnacentral:rRNA from 1 species